GCCUUUGUUGUGCAAUGGUAGUAUACUCGGCGUGUAUUCGAGAGGUCCAGGUUCGAGUCCCGGCGAGGGCA
rnacentral:tRNA from 1 species